AGCGGCGCGCCCGAUCCCCGAGCUCCAGCCGGCCGGGUGCGGCCAAGGGCGAGCGGGGCUUCCCCGCAUCCCCGGCCAGCGAGCAGCCGCCGGCCCCCUCCCCACGGUUCCGACCCGGCUACACACCGAUUAUGUCAAGGAGGCUGGUUUCAGGAAGUCUCAGUCCAGCGCACAAGCAGAGGAGAUUCGUCAGACCUGACCCUUUCCUGCAAACAGUUCUGGUGUCGACGAAGCGGUGUUUUCUGCUUGAAUAAAAC